GCGGUUCCAUCAGUGGUUAAUGCGGUUGACGCUGAUGACACUCCAAUUUUCAUCAAUAAUAGUAGUGAAACAAGUGAAGUAACGAGUACUUGGUGUGAUAAAUUUAAAAUACAAUUGCAAAAGACCAUAAUAGAACUCAGAUAAGCACAAAAAAAUUAUUGAACUGCUACAAGAAGAGAUGAACUUAAACACGCCCAUUCGGACCCGCCAGAAGAGGUACUGUCCAACAUGAAGAUUGAGCCUGAUGACAGCGAACUGAAGCUGCAGGAAGCUGUUACAGAAUCAAUGAAGAAUAUAGAAAAGGUGGUAGAGUCAGUGUUGGAGAGAAACACGGAAGGUGGUUUCAUUGUGCUGCAUGCUACCGUAGAAUUCUGCCAUGCGUUGGGUGACAUUGCCACGUAUGGUCUGGCUGGCAACAGGGAUGAGGACGCUCAGGAACUACUUAUACCUGUCUCAUAAAUUUCAUGGAAAGGGACCUGGCAGAAAUAAAAUAGAGAAACGAAUGAAGAAGAAUGAGCAGGAAGGAUUGAUGAAACAGAUGACCUCAACACACCCCACUUGGAACGCUUUGGGUCUUGCAGCAGGAACAGAAAGAAACAUGCUCCAUUCUUGGUCCUUAGUGACAGUAAACAAAUAUGAGUAUGCUUUUUGUCUGCCACUGAUUCAAUUCAUUCAAAAGAACAGCCAGAUCUAGCGAAAAAAAAAGUAAUUCUAUUCAUUACCUGACAGACAUGAGAACACAGAUUACUAGAUGAAACCAGUCAACUCAAUUCAAAAUUUGUCUUAUCAUGACAUUACAAAUAGCAGUAAUUCAUAGGUUUAACUUAAAGACUGAGUAGAUGAGCCUCCAUAUGCUAAUGUUGAUAAUGUCAUUUAGUGAUUGUACUGCCUCAAAGUAAAUAUUUGUUUUUCUCUGAUCAUGUCACUUGUUAUAAUUUCUCAACUGUAGACCGUAAAGUGUCAUUUUAAUAAUGGAUGAUUGUUCAAUAAGACUUUCCUGCUUGAUAUGCUUAAGUUUUACUAGGAAUUUCUGUUUUUGAUGCAGAAUAUGAAAUUUAAUUAAAAAAAAAUCAUCUGUGAGGUUUUUGUGAAAUCUGCUAGUUUAACAUGAGCAUUACUACAUUUUCUUUGUUUCUUCCUUUUUUCAGGGCAACCAUCUCAAAAACAAAACUGCAGAUUCUUCGUGAAAUAUGCUGGCACCAACUCUGAAAUUUAGUGUGGACUUAUAUUUUUAUUGUUUGUUACUGUCUGGAAUAUCAUCUCUAUUUUUAAGUAAGACACAGCUUGCAGCUGCUGAUAGUGCCUGUAUAUACUGGAAGGAAGGCCACAGAGUUUAUGUCACACUCAAAUGAGUACAGAGGUUCUCCUGUGCCCGCUGUUGGCACCUGUAAGCAGAAAAGUACAAUUUCUAGUGAGCAGUUGCUUGUUUAUAGGACCUGAGCCAGAUGAACCGCCUCUGAACUAAAUCGGACAUGAAGUAAUUAUAUAUGUGGCCUUUCUUGAUUGCAAUAGCAGUAUUUGUACACCCCCAUCCAUGCUUCAUUCAAGCAUGUAAAUUGGCCACUGAGCAUUGUGACACGUAUCCUUCCAAAAGAUGAAAGAAACCCUGGUUCAGUGAUAGGCCAGUAUGAAAAGCUGUAAAAUUAUACAAGCAACAGAAUCAGAUGUACAUUCUACUGCAAAUCAUUGUAAAGCACCACUGACAUAUUAUUGAAACAUUUAUAAUGGGUUAUGAAAGUAACUUGGUUCAUCCUGGCCCAUCACACUAGUAGUUGCGUAUAAGAUUUUUAACCACCGUCCAGUCUGAUUGAUGAAAGUUUUUAAUUUUCAUCAUUUACAUGUUUCUGUCAAAACGACCAUCUUCAGAAGGAUAUUAUCAACACACAUGGAAGCUACUGUUACCAUGUCAUAUAUAUAAAUUUUGUGUCUCUUUAACUAAUAUUAAGAUGUAUAC